rnacentral:rRNA from 1 species
ACUCCUACGGGAGGCAGCAGUGAGGAAUAUUGGUCAAUGGAGGGAACUCUGAACCAGCCAUCCCGCGUGUAGGAAGACGGCCUUAUGGGUUGUAAACUACUUUUAUACAGAGAACGUACCUCGUGAGGUGCCUGACGGUACUGUAGGAAUAAGCACCGGCUAACUCCGUGCCAGCAGCCGCGGUAAUACGGAGGGGUGCGAGCGUUAUCCGGAUUUAUUGGGUUUAAAGGGUCCGUAGGCGGAUUAAUAAGUCAGUGGUGAAAUCCCAUCGCUUAACGAUGGAACUGCCAUUGAUACUGUUAGUCUUGAAUGAGGGUGCAGUGGUUGGAAUGUGUAGUGUAGCGGUGAAAUGCAUAGAUAUUACACAGAACACCGAUUGCGAAGGCAGAUCACUAACCCUAAAUUGACGCUGAGGGACGAAAGCGUGGGGAGCGAACAGGAUUAGAUACCCUGGUAGGAUAGCG